AAAAGUCUAAGCUCCUCUUCCCAGCCACCAACUCGAUCUGCCCUAGUCUUCCCAUCUCCUACUUAAUUCAAGGUCCAGUAGGUCGUGCAGUCCUAGAGCUCGAGUGAUCUCCUUGGCUCUUGUAGCCUAUGUUUCCCCGGAGUUAAUCCCCUCCCAAUAUCUUGGUCCAUCUGCCCAGAGCUUGGUGUACCAGUCCCUAGGUGGUGACCAUCGUCGGCAGUUAGUCCACCUCGCCGUGACCAGGUAACUUCAAGGGUUUCCUCAGUCGAGUUGUGCAUAUUUUGUGCUCUGCAUAAGAUAGAGAAGCUCAUAUGAUGCUAAACCAUUCUCCUUAAGUAGGUUUGGUUUGGGGUGUAUGGAAAAUAGAGUGAAAGCUGCCCAAAAAUGGACUGUGAGUUUGCAUUGACUGAAUUUUUGUUCAGAUUAGCUGAAAACUGGAUUGCAGUAGAUUGCUCAGUUUGGACCUCUCCUAUGACCAGUUCAUGAGGUUUUGGGUUACCAGUUGUAUAGAAAAGUCAAAGACCAGAUGAAGGUGAACAAGCUUCAUCAGAGAAGUGGGGCUUACUACUGUGUAAAAUAUGGAGAAAUAUGUGCUGCAAUUUUCUAUGUCAGGUGUUGUGUUCAGGUCUUUUUCAGUUAGCUGAAAUUUAGCCUUUGUGUUUCCACCUCAAGUUUGGUGCUCUGUAACUUGAGAUCUGUUUAGGGUUAGCUAGUAGCUGUUGUAACAAAGUUGGAGAGAGAUUAUAGAGGAACCAUUCAUAGUAAGGAAAUACAUUGAGCCCUCAUAUGGAAUUGCGAGAAAAUAGUGUUACAAAACCCUCUGUCAGACUUGGAGUGGGCUGUUUCAGCUAACUGAAAACCAGUUCAGGGUGUUGUUUAGUCAACUUUGGAGCUCUGUGGUAAUUAAUAAAACCAGAAUUGGGUUAAGAGUUUUAUAGAAAGGUGAAAGACCAAGUGUAGGAGAACCAGUUUUAUACAAGUAGAUUGGCUUGUUGAUUUAUGGAAUUUAGAGAAAAGCCUGUUGCAAAACUCUCUGACAGACAUGGUAAGGUGCUGUUUCAGAUCGAGGAACUGAACUUUUCAGUGUUUUGCUCUAACUUUUGUGCACCAUAGCUACUGUUCUAAGUAUUUUCAGCUUAGGGGUUUUAUACCAAAUGGGAAGGGCUAUAGUAGGAGAGUAAUAUUGGUUCACAAAGGUUGGUUGGUUGUUGAGAAGAAUUGUUAGAUAUCUAGGCUUGAACAAAGAAGAAAGCAAAAGGGAGCAGUAUUGCUAAUGAACUGGAUUCAGUUAACUGAAAACUGGAAUUUCACUGUUGGUGCUCAGCUUGGAGCUCUUUGGUGACCAAAUCAUGGGGUUUUAGGUUAGGAGUUCCAUAACAAAGUGAAAUACCAAGGUAAGGCAAACAAGUUUCAUGUGAAUAGUUGGGCUUGUUACGGUGAAGAAAUUGGGGAGAGGAAUGGAGCAAUGGAAGAUGAAUUCAGAGACCUGAAAGCAGGUUCAGUGAAUUGUGGCUGAUUCUUGGACACUAUAACUUGUAGUGCAUGCAGUUUGGAUCCUUGCUUAAGGCAUAAAUGAAGUGCUUGGUUGGUUAUGGAGGCAAGGUUUCCUAGUUUAGUUGGUGAAUUGAGUUGUGAUAUUAGAGUAUUUAGCUCUCUUAAGGUUUAUUAGUUUUUGUGUGCACGUUUAGAAAGGUGUAAGUCUUGUGAUGCUUUUUAGUAUUUUCUUGUCAAGUUGCAUCAGCAUAAGCAUUCAUGUUCAUAUCUUUACAUGUAGAAUUCCCAGAAGAAGAAGAUGAAAUUCAAGAAGUGGUUUCUAAAGAGGAGUCUGCUUCAGUGCCUGCUCAUCAAGUGAUGGGAGUCAUCUAACUGGGGUUUAAUAGAGGGAUUUAGACCUCUGUCUCUGCAACAAAGGCAAGCCCCGGUGCAUUUGCCACCUUCCUUGUAUUAUAAAAUUUUAUCACUUAUAUGCUGCAUUAGGUAAUAUGAGUUGAAUGAUUAAACAUUUGAUGCAUUACCAUCCUUGAAAGAUUGAUUAUCAUACCUUGUUACCUGUUUUAUAAAAACUAGUAAUGCUUAGUCAUGCUUAUAGAUUAAGAAAAAUAUUUUUGAUCUAUGACUCAUGAUUUUUUUUAAAAAAAGAAAAAGGGCUUGGGAUGAUGGAGGCAUCCUCCGCGGGGAUGAAUUCAUCAUUCAAGCAAGGUACCUCUGCCAGGUAUCAAAUUUUGAGAAUUUGUUUAAAAUGAGACCAGACGUUGAGAUGGACAGGUCGCGCGUCUGUGUCGAUCAAGGACCGUACCGAUUGUAGGCCUGUUGAUCUAGGACCUUUUAACUGGCCACAUACCUCGUCAUGGGUAAGCCUGAACCCGGCUACUCCAUAUGUGAAAAGACAAUCGCGCACUGGGAGUGGAGAGAUGGCGGGAGUGGCGUGUACCCACCUGGCACGUGGCUGGAUGGUGGAGUACCAUACUGUCGGGUGGCGCGGACCGGUUCACGUAGUGGAGGACCCGUGGGAAUGGUAGACAUAUGCAAGGGUUAAGUGUUACAUAUGUCGUGUGGUUGGUGAUCCCCAGCUGGGUAUUAAUCGAUUCGAAUCGCCGUUACUUCUCGGUUAUGAAGACUGGAUCACUGCUCUACAUCGUAGAUAACAAGCGAAACAAAAUUUGGAUUUUAAAAGCAACCUAGUGUAGGUCAAGUGAAUGAUCUAGAUUAGUAAAAUGCUAGAUUCAGGCUAGAAGAUUCAGGUAAUAAACUAACUUGUGAAAUAAAACUUGGCUUAAGGACCCACUUCUAGUAAGCUUUUCUGCAAAAUGAGUCCUUGAACUUUGAUGAGCUUUACCUUGAUUCCCAAAAGCCAACAUACCCUUGAGAGUCUUUUCUUUAGUCGGGUAAGUCUUGCUGAGUAAUUGCGUACUCAGGGUUUUAUCCCUUGUUGUUUUUGUAGGAGAAGUUUUAUUCCCUUACCUUUGGGUUAGUUACUUCAUGUAGAGGACUUGAAGCUUAAAAUGUUUUUAUAUAUCUCUUAUGGAAAGGUUUCACCCUUCCAAUUAUUGUAAUAAGUUAUGCACUUCGAGUACUAUCAGGACUUGUAAUAAAUACAUCUCUUUCUACCAUGUAAAACUUGAGUUCUGGAAUGUAAAGUGUACUUUGUAAAAGUCUUCUGCUCUAUCUUCAAUGUGUGUGUAUCAAAUGUGAUUACUAUAAUAUACAUGUUAUGUGGGAGAUCCUUGGGAUGAUGAGUUCCAGUUGGCGAACUCGAUAGCCUUGUUAAGUUACCCGGUACACGUGCACAGCCAUCUGAGGUCAUUAAGGCAAGGAUUGGAGCAUGUUGGCCUGAUAACUUGGAAGGGCUGUCACAGCGUGGUAUCAGAGCGAUCCCCCAUUAGCAUGGAUAUUAUAGUAAUACUUUGAUAAACUUCAACAUGAUUUUGAUUCUAAAUGAUUUUUAUAAACUUAAGAAUCUAUAAUCAAGGCCUGAUGAUAGAAGUGCAAAUAAUAUGUGGUUAAAACUAAGGACUAUCAGGUGGCUUAGUUUAAGAUGCUAACCACUAACCCACAACCUAGGAAGGGUAAUGCAUACAUGUGUAAUGUUAUUUUUAGCGCCAUUUAGUUUUGAAUGGAUCGACGCUCAGGUAAAGGUGAGUUGUGAGAGCAUGACCGAACAAACGUCGGUCUAGGGGAGUGCUUAAAUGUGGCACUAAACUAUAUACAUAUUCUACAUAUGUAUAUAUGAAGGUUGCAAUGUGGAGUAUUUAAUUUCUGGGAUUCGGUACCCCAUGGAUGUGUAUGGGUAUACAGACAUGGGAAUACUGAAAAGUGUAAUGUACUUGUAACGAUGCACCUACGCGCAGGUAAGAAAGUAAGUUACCACAAUGGGCUGCCCUGUGGUUAAAAGUGUGGCAACGGCGCCUAUGCGUGGCUCGGCGCUUAAUGAGGAGCUGGCAUCCAUAUAGAAAUAUAUGGAGUAUAAACUGUGACCAAAUGUGUGAAUUGCAUCAUGGGGUUUGGGUUGUAAUGGAAUUUUCUGCAGGUACACUGACUAAACUCUAGGAAAUUACGACUAGUUAACUCCGGAGUGAGUAGGUAUGCCACCGCCAUAGAGCGUGCAAGCCACUAUAUGCUGGCAAGAUUGUGAGGACGAAUUGGACGAGCAUGCAUCAUGACAUAUAACUUUAAGUUAAACCCCCUAUGUAGUAGCUUUAGUACGUGUUUCAUCUACCUUGUUCAUGUUGUCUGUCUUUGCCUUUCUAUGCUACCUUUCCUUGUUUUUGAAGACUGGAAGCCAAGUUUAGUUGGUGGGCAGAAUACCUUGCGUUAUAGCCAGAGGGACAUCAAAUUUCUUGGGCCGAAUUCUGUGAGGUAUUUCGGGCACGUCAUGUUCCAGAAGCCCCUAUACAAAUAAAGUUCAAAGCGUUUUUGGAUCUAAAGUAAGGUGAAGAAGCGAGUGUGAUGGACUAUUUGAGAGGUUUACUUGCCUAUCCCAGUAUGUUUUGGAUUAUGUGGAUGCCAGUGAAAAAAAAAGGUAAUACAUCCUACGUGAUCUUAAUGUGAAACUUAGGCUCCUGAUGGCAAUUAGUUUGGUUGAAGGAUAUAAGGAGAUGGUCAGUCAGACUAUUCUAGGAAAUAAUAAGGUUCGUCUACAUCAGGAGUUUAAGUGAAAAAAGUAAAGGAUCGAGUCACUCGAAGAAAAGUUAUCGAGUUUUACGAGAUACAGUGGAACCAACCCAUGGAAGAUGAAACCACAUAGAAAUUGGAGGAUUAUCUGGAAAAGCGUGUUCCUGCGUUUCUAAUAUCUUGUAAACCCAAAGUUUGUGUAGUUGUUUCUGAUAUAAACCAGCAGGGGCACACUCCCUGCCUUGUAGGAGUAAUGGGGAAAUAAGUCAGUGACGCAUUUCCUUUUCCAUUAUCUAGCCUAGAGUUUUAAAUCUCGGGACGAGAUUUCUUUUUGGGGGGAAGGCUGUAACACCCCUGGUGUUACGAUAACUAAAAUUCUGACAUGUCAUCAUAAGCACUUGCAUUAUCUUGCUUGAUACACCUAGAGUGCAUCUACUAGGUCUAAAAAUUUGGAAACAAAGAUAGUGUGUUGCGUUGAUAUGAGCUAAAGAGUUUGAAGAGUUAGUGAGUGGUUGAGUGAGAGCAAACUACUUCUAAGCUAAAAAUGCCUUGGCCAUGAAAUCCAAGUAUCAAAAUUGGACUUUGAGGUAAAGUGCAACCUUGCUUUAAGUGAGGGAUCAGACUGGAAGAUAUUUGUCUCGAGAAAGGCAAACUCAAAUGAAACACUCAAGUCCUCAACUAGCCCAAAAGUGGAGUUUUAAAUCUAGAGAGAAUUUGCUAGCGGUCCAUAUAUCAAAGUUGUAGAUUUUGGAAAGUUGAACAACUUUCAUGUAUGGAGAAUUCCAAGUUUGAGAGGAAAAGUUGGAGUAAAAAGCUUAAUUCAGUUUUGAAUCAGAUUUGAAGUUUGCUGAAAAUAAUAUCAACUAGCUGUUUUUGGGCCUUCAUAACUUUUGAUCUAUAAACAGUUUGAAGAUGGUCAUUGUAACAAAGUUAUAGACCUACAUGAGGAGUAUAAGUUUGGUUAAGUCACCUAGCACUAAAACUGUUUGGAACUUAGAGAAAACCUGGUCCAAAGUAAUGCUGUCAGAAAUUGUAGGUUUCAGACUUAGUGAAAUUCAGAUUCUGAAUUUCAGCAAUUGGAGCAAACUUUGAGCUAUUGUAGUUUGGAAUCCAAGAGGUUUUGGUUAAUGACCACUAUAGGAAACUUGUAGAAUAAGUAUGAGAGAACAACUGUUAUUAAGUAUCACAGCCCUCGAACUAUAUACAACUAGGAGAAAAAGGUGAUCCAAAGUGAGGCUGUCAGACUUUUAAAUUUCAGGUUGUGAACAGUGUCUGAAAUCAGAUUUCUGUGUUUUGAUAGCUGUUUUAGAGCCUGUUUUUGGCUGAUCUAGAGGGUUUUGGGUUGUGAUGUUUAUGAAGAAAGUAAAGACCAUAUAUUGGUGAACAACUUCCUUAAAGGGUGAUGGACAUGAUCCCAUACAAGAAUUGGAGUAACAACUGCUUAAAGUGGGACUGUGUUGUGGCUGAAACUUAAUUAUAUUCAGUUAUUGAAAAUUGAAUUUCAGUGAUUGUGACAUACUUUGGAGCUUCCUUGUGAAUAAUCCAUAAGGUUUUGAGCUAUGGUUUCUAUAGAGGAAUUGAAGACCAUAAGUUGGUGUACAAAUGUAUUUAAGGGUGAUGGCUAUGAUCCUACACAAAAAGUGGAGAAAAAGUAAACUGAAAAUGGACUGUUGGGUUACUGGUGACUGAAAUUGGUUCAGUUAACUAAAACUGAAAUUCAGUAAAUGAUGCCCAAUUUGGAGCUCAUUUGUGAUCAAUCCAAGUGGUUUUGGACUAAAGUUUCCAUAGAAAAGUUGGAGCCCAUAGUACAGAGAACAAGUUUCCUAAAGAGAGUUAGACUUGGUUCUACAUAAACCUAGGAGUAAAGUAUAUCCCAAUCUUCUCUGUCAAAGUGGUUGUGACUGAACUCAGUUCAGUCAGCUGAAACCAAAAUUUCAGUGCUUGUUACCCAGUUUGUGGUGCUAGUGUGACCAUUCUAUUGAGAUUUGGACUGAGAAUCAUAUAUUGAAAUUAGAGACCAAAUAAAGAGGUAAACGUCUCCUAAAGUGAGAUGGACCUAGUAUCAUGCAAACUAUGGAGUAGUAUGCAUCUAAACUCCCUCUGACAGACUGUUUUGGGCUGCUUCAGUUAAUCUGAAACUGCACUUUUCAGUGCUUUUUGGCUCCAGUUUGGUGCCUAUAACUUGUGUUCUGUAUAGUUGCAGCCUUGGGGUGCUAUACCAAGUUGGUAGGGCUGUAGUUGGUGACUAAAUUUGGUUAAGGAAGAAGGGUUAGUUAUUGUAUGAAAUUGUGAGAUUAAGGGCACUGAACAUGAAGAAGUGAAGUGGAGCAGUGGCAGUCCAAUAUGGAUCAAAAAUAUCUGCAGUAAAGAUCUUCACCCACUACGGACUCCAUGGGUUUCCAGGGAAUGUUUGGAUAAGUGAAGGCUGGUAUGAGGUAGGGUCAUGAGACUUGGUUUACUAGCUAAGGACUGUAUUGAACUUGUACUAGAUUGAUCACAACAGACACAUCCUCCUGUCUGCUUGUCGUCUUGUGCCCAGCAGUGGAUGAGGUUCAUCACCCCUGCGUUUACCUCCUAUGUGCUGUCCAUGCACUCCUGCUACGUGUCCAUAAUCGUGGGGCUGCUGGCGUCCCGGGCGUCCUCCUCCAUCAUGUCUUGGCCGAGCUCCCCAUCCCUUUGCUUAAAUACUGCUGCUGUAAUCCCUGCUGUUCUCAAGUUUUAGUUGUUUCACUUGGUGUCUUAGCGGUUCGUGUUUGUAAGUCUAAGCUCCUCUUCCCAGCCACCAACUCGAUCUGCCCUAGUCUUCCCAUCUCCUACUUAAGUCAAGGUCCAGUAGGCCGUGCAGUCCUAGAGCUCGAGUGAUCUCCUUGGCUCUUGUAGCCUAUGUUUCCCCGGAGUUAAUCCCCUCCCAAUAUCUUGGUCCAUCUGCCCAGAGCUUGGUGUACCAGUCCCUAGGUGGUGACCAUCGUCGGCUGUUAGUCCACCUCGCCGUGACCAGGUAACUUCAAGGGUUUCCUCAGUCGAGUUGUGCAUAUUUUGUGCUCUACAUAAGGUAGAGAAGCUCAUAUGAUGGUAAACCAUUCUCCUUAAGUAGGUUUGGUUUGGGGUGUAUGGAAAAUAGAGUGAAAGCUGCCCAAAAAUGGACUGUGAGUUUGCACUGACUGAAUUUUUGUUCAGAUUAGCUGAAAACUGGAUUGCAGCAGAUUGCUCAGUUUGGAGCUCUCCUAUGACCAGUUCAUGAGGUUUUGGGUUACCAGUUGUAUAGAAAAGUCAAAGACCAGAUGAAGGUGAACAAGCUUCAUCAGAGGAGUGGGGCUUACUACUGUGUAAAAUAUGGAGAAAUAUGUGCUGCAAUUUUCUAUGUCAGGUGUUGUGUUCAGGUCUUUUUCAGUUAGCUGAAAUUUAGCCUUUGCGUUUCCACCUCAAGUUUGGUGCUCUGUAACUUGAGAUCUGUUUAGGGUUAGCUAGUAGCUGUUGUAACAAAGAUGGAGAGAGAUUAUAGAGGAACCAUUCAUAGUAAGGAAAUACAUUGAGCCCUCAUAUGGAAUUGCGAGAAAAUAGUGUUACAAAACCCUCUGUCAGACUUGGAGUGGGCUGUUUCAGCUAACUGAAAACCGGUUCAGGGUGUUGUUUAGUCAACUUUGGAGCUCUAUGGUAAUUAAUAAAACCAGAAUUGGGUUAAGAGUUUUAUAGAAAGGUGAAAGACCAAGUGUAGGAGAACCAGUUUUAUACAAGUAGAUUGGCUUGUUGAUUUAUGGAAUUUAGAGAAAAGCCUGUUGCAAAACUCUCUGACAGACAUGGUAAGGUGCUGUUUCAGAUCGAGGAACUGAACUUUUCAGUGUUUUGCUCUAACUUUUGUGCACCAUAGCUACUGUUCUAAGUAUUUUCAGCUUAGGGGUUUUAUACCAAAUGGGAAGGGCUAUAGUAGGAGAGUAAUAUUGGUUCACAAAGGUUGGUUGGUUGUUGAGAAGAAUUGUUAGAUAUCUGGGCUUGAACAAAGAAGAAAGCAAAAGGGAGCAUUAUUGCUAAUGAACUGGAUUCAGUUAACUGAAAACUGGAAUUUCAUUGUUGGUGCUCAGCUUGGAGCUCUUUGGUGACCAAAUCAUGGGGUUUUAGGUUAGGAGUUCCAUAACAAAGUGAAAUACCAAGGUAAGGCAAACAAGUUUCAUGUGAAUAGUUGGGCUUGUUACGGUGAAGAAAUUGGGGAGAGGAAUGGAGCAAUGGAAGAUGAAUUCAGAGAACUGAAAGCAGGUUCAGUGAAUUGUGGAUGAUUCUUGGACACUAUAACUUGUAGUGCAUGCAGUUUGGAUCCUUGCUUAAGGCAUAAAUGAAGUGCUUGGUUGGUUAUGGAGGCAAGGUUUCCUAGUUUAGUUGGUGAAUUGAGUUGUGAUAUUAGAGUAUUUAGCUCUCUUAAGGUUUUAUUAGUUUUUGUGUGCACGUUUAGAAAAGUGUAAGUCUUGUGAUGCUUUUUAGUAUUUUCUUGUCAAGUUGCAUCAGCAUAAGCAUUCAUGUUCAUAUCUUUACAUGUAGAAUUCCUAGAAGAAGAAGAUGAAAUUCAAGAAGUGGUUUCUGAAGAGGAGUCUGCUUCAGUGCCUGCUCAUCAAGUGAUGGGAGCCAUCUAACUAGGGUUUAAUAGAGGGAUUUAGACCUCUGUCUCUGCAACAAAGGCAAGCCUUGGUGCAUUUGCCACCUUCCUUGUAUUAUAAAAUUUUAUCACUUAUAUGUUGCAUUAGGUGAUAUGAGUUGAAUGAUUCAACACUUGAUGCAUUGCCAUCCUUGAAAGAUUGAUUAUCAUACCUUGUUACCUGUUUUAUAAAAACUAGUAAUGCUUAGUCAUGCUUAUAGAUUAAGAAAAAUAUUUUUGAUCUAUGACUCAUUAUUUUUUU
rnacentral:lncRNA from 1 species